rnacentral:rRNA from 1 species
CACCCCCCAGCUAGCCCGACAGUUUAAAACCAACCAGAGCACAUCAAUAACCCCAACUGCCCUAACAAUUUCUUAACAAACCAUUUUUCCUCCUUAGUAUAGGCGAUAGAAAAGGAUACCGGAGCGAUAGAGACAGUACCGCAAGGGAACGCUGAAAGAGAAAUGAAAUAACCCAGAAAGUACUAAAAAGCAGAGCUUUCACCUCGUACCUUUUGCAUCAUGAUUUAGCCAGAACUCUCCAAGCAAAGAGCCCUUUAGUUUGACCCCCCGAAACUAGACGAGCUACUCCAAGACAGCCCAUAAUGGGGCAAACCCGUCUCUGUGGCAAAAGAGUGGGAAGAGCUUUGAGUAGAGGUGACAAACCUACCGAGCCUAGUUAUAGCUGGUUGCCUGGGAUUUGGAUAGAAGUUCAGCCUCCCCGCUUCUUUCUUUCGCACCUUCACAUGACCCCAUUUGAUCAAGAAGACCACGGGAGAGUUAGUCAAAGGGGGUACAGCCCCUUUGACACAGGACACAACUUUUUCAAGUGGAUAAAGAUCGUGCACACUUACGUACUUGGGUGGGCCUAAAAGCAGCCACCCCCUCAGAAAGCGUUACAGCUCGAGUACAGCCCCAGCCUCAUCCCCCUAAUUUGAUCUGAUUCCCCUCAACAUACCAGGCCUUCCCAUGCUAACAUGGGAAAGAUUAUGCUAAUAUGAGUAACAAGAGGGCCACCCCCCUCUCCCCCGCACAACUGUAUAUCGGAUCGGACACCCCGCCGAACUUUAACGGCCCCAACCAAAGAGGGCACUGAGAAGGGAAUAAAGGACAAGAAAAACCCUCAGCAACCAACCGUUGACCCCACACUGGUGUGCAUCAAGGGAAAGACAGAAAGAAAGAGAAGGAACUCGGCAAACACAUAAGGCCUCGCCUGUUUACCAAAAACAUCGCCUCUUGCAAUCAGCGAAUAAGAGGUCCCGCCUGCCCUGUGACUAUUAGUUUAACGGCCGCGGUAUUUUGACCGUGCGAAGGUAGCGUAAUCACUUGUCUUUUAAUUGGAGACCUGUAUGAAUGGCAUAACGAGGGCUGAACUGUCUCCUCUAUCUAGUCAGUGAAAUUGAUUUCCCCGUGCAGAAGCGGCGAUAAACCCAUAAUACGAGAAGACCCUAUGGAGCUUUAGACCCAAGUGCAGUCCUGUUUUAACCCCCUUAUACUACGCGGGAACACAACGAGCCCCUGUCCUGGUGUCUUCGGUUGGGGCGACCACGGCGUAAUAGAUACCCCCCGCGCGGAAUGAAAGCACACCUUAUUCAACUGAGAGCUCCCGCUCUAAUUAGCAGAAUUUCUGACCUUAAAGAUCCGGCAUGGCCGAUCAACGGAACCAGUUACCCUAGGGAUAACAGCGCAAUCCCCCUCAAGAGACCCUAUCGACGGGGGGGUUUACGACCUCGAUGUUGGAUCAGGACAUCCUAAUGGUGCAGCCGCUAUUGAGGGUUCGUUUGUUCAACGAUUAAAGUCCUACGUGAUCUGAGUUCAGACCGGAGUAAUCCAGGUCGGUUUCUAUCUAUGAUAUGCUCUUUUCUAGUACGCAAGGACCGAGAAGAGGGGGUCCAUGUCCCAUAUACACCCCGCCCCCACCUAAUGAAAACAACUAAAAUAGGCAAGAGGGCAUACCUGUCACCCCAUAAAUAAUGGCAC